GAUGUCCUACGGGGCGCAGCAGUGAGGAAUAUUGGUCAAUGGACGCAAGUCUGAACCAGCCAUGCCGCGUGCAGGAUGACGGCUCUAUGAGUUGUAAACUGCUUUUGUACGAGGGUAAACCCCGAUACGUGUAUCGGGUUGAAAGUAUCGUACGAAUAAGGAUCGGCUAACUCCGUGCCAGCAGCCGCGGUAAUACGGAGGAUCCGAGCGUUAUCCGGAUUUAUUGGGUUUAAAGGGUGCGUAGGCGGUUUGAUAAGAUAGAGGUGAAAUGUCGGGGCUCAACCUCGAAAAUGCCUCUAAUACUU
rnacentral:rRNA from 1 species